AUUGAACGCUGGCGGCAGGCUUAACACAUGCAAGUCGAGCGGGGUGAUGGUGCUUGCACUAUCACUUAGCGGCGGACGGGUGAGUAAUGCUUAGGAAUCUGCCUAUUAGUGGGGGACAACAUCUCGAAAGGGAUGCUAAUACCGCAUACGUCCUACGGGAGAAAGCAGGGGAUCACUUGUGACCUUGCGCUAAUAGAUGAGCCUAAGUCGGAUUAGCUAGUUGGGGGGGUAAAGGCCUACCAAGGCGACGAUCUGUAGCGGGUCUGACAGGAUGAUCCGCAACGCUGGGACUGAGACACGGCCCAGACUCCUACGGGAGGCAGCAGCGGGGAAUAUUGGACAAUGGGGGGAACCCUGAUCCAGCCAUGCCGCGUGUGUGAAGAAGGCCUUAUGGUUGUAAAGCACUUUAAGCGAGGAGGAGGCUCUUUUGGUUAAUACCCAAGAUGAGUGGACAUUACUCGCAGAAUAAGCACCGGCUAACUCUGUGCCAGCAGCCGCCGUAA
rnacentral:rRNA from 1 species